rnacentral:rRNA from 1 species
CGACCGCUGGCGGCGUGCUUACCACAUGCAAGUCGAACGGAAAGGCCCUGCUUUUGUGGGGUGCUCGAGUGGCGAACGGGUGAGUAACACGUGAGUAACCUGCCCUUGACUUUGGGAUAACUUCAGGAAACUGGGGCUAAUACCGGAUAGGAGCUCCUGCUGCAUGGUGGGGGUUGGAAAGUUUCGGCGGUUGGGGAUGGACUCGCGGCUUAUCAGCUUGUUGGUGGGGUAGUGGCUUACCAAGGCUUUGACGGGUAGCCGGCCUGAGAGGGUGACCGGCCACAUUGGGACUGAGAUACGGCCCAGACUCCCACGGGAGGCAGCAGUGGGGAAUAUUGCACAAUGGGCGGAAGCCUGAUGCAGCAACGCCGCGUGCGGGAUGAAGGCCUUCGGGUUGUAAACCGCUUUCGCCUGUGACGAAGCGUGAGUGACGGUAAUGGGUAAAGAAGCACCGGCUAACUACGUG